UACGUAGGGGGCAAGCGUUGUCCGGAUUUAUUGGGCGUAAAGAGCGUGUAGGCGGUCAGGUAGGUCCGUUGUAAAAACUCGAGGCUCAACCUCGAGACGCCGAUGGAAACCAUCUGACUAGAGUCCGGAAGAGGAGAGUGGAAUUCCUGGUGUAGCGGUGAAAUGCGCAGAUAUCAGGAAGAACACCCGUGGCUAAGGCGGCUCUCUAGUACGGUACUGACGCUGAGACGCGAAAGCGUGGGGAGCGAACAGG
rnacentral:rRNA from 1 species